rnacentral:rRNA from 1 species
GAUGAACGCUGGCGGCGUGCCUAAUACAUGCAAGUCGAGCGAACGGACGAGAAGCUUGCUUCUCUGAUGUUAGCGGCGGACGGGUGAGUAACACGUGGAUACCCUACCUAUAAGACUGGGAUAACUUCGGGAAACCGGAGCUAAUACCGGAUAAUAUUUUGAACCGCAUGGUUCAAAAGUGAAAGACGGUCUUGCUGUCACUUAUAGAUGGAUCCGCGCUGCAUUAGCUAGUUGGUAAGGUAACGGCUUACCAAGGCAACGAUGCAUAGCCGACCUGAGAGGGUGAUCGGCCACACUGGAACUGAGACACGGUCCAGACUCCUACGGGAGGCAGCAGUAGGGAAUCUUCCGCAGUGGGCGAAAGCCUGACGGAGCAACGCCGCGUGAGUGAUGAAGGUCUUCGGAUCGUAAAACUCUGUUAUUAGGGAAGAACAGAUGUGUAAGUAACUGUGCACAUCUUGACGGUACCUAAUCAGAAAGCCACGGCUAACUACGUG